UAGGGAAUCUCCCCCGUUNAUGGACGGAAGUCUGACCGAGCAACGCCGCGUGAGUGAAGAAGGUUUUCGGAUCGUAAAGCUCUGUUGUAAGAGAAGAACGAGUGUGAGAGUGGAAAGUUCACACUGUGACGGUAUCUUACCAGAAAGGGACGGCUAACUACGUGCCAGCAGCCGCGGUAAUACGUAGGUCCCGAGCGUUGUCCGGAUUUAUUGGGCGUAAAGCGAGCGCAGGCGGUUAGAUAAGUCUGAAGUUAAAGGCUGUGGCUUAACCAUAGUACGCUUUGGAAACUGUUUAACUUGAGUGCAAGAGGGGAGAGUGGAAUUCCAUGUGUAGCGGUGAAAUGCGUAGAUAUAUGGAGGAACACCGGUGGCGAAAGCGGCUCUCUGGCUUGUAACUGACGCUGAGGCUCGAAAGCGUGGGGAGCAAACAGGAUUAGAUACCCUGGUAGUCCACGCCGUAAACGAUGAGUGCUAGGUGUUAGACCCUUUCCGGGGUUUAGUGCCGCAGCUAACGCAUUAAGCACUCCGCCUGGGGAGUACGACCGCAAGGUUG
rnacentral:rRNA from 1 species